rnacentral:ncRNA from 2 species
UAUUACAGAAACAAUGCAUGUUCCACAGAUGUGGAUGAAAAGGGAAACCGGUGUGAAUCCAGUACGGUCCCGCCACUGUAAAAGGGAGCUAUUAUCAUAUAUGUCACUGCCGAAAUGGCGGGAAGACGAUAAAAUG